rnacentral:lncRNA from 1 species
GGCGAUAGUGAUAUUUGGGAGAUUUGUGACAUAUUGGAGCAAAGUACACGAAAUAAUAAAGGAGAUUCUCAUAGGAGGAGGGGAAGUUUUAGAAUUUUUAGAAGAAGAAGAAGAAGAAGUGGGGUGGGCCCCGACCCGAAAACAAAGUGGUGUACUAGCUGGCAAACCGGUCUGACAGACUGGUUCUUCCCAUAGACAACACCACCAACAUCAACAACCAUCACCUUCUCCAUUUUCUUCAAACCCCCCCUCUCCCCCUCAAUCCCUCACCACUCAAACCUCAACUUCCACUUCUUCCUCGCCAUUUUUAAGACCCCCAACCCCUAUCUCUCUCUCUCUCUCUCUCUCUCUGAAGAUUUGAUAAACAUAAUUAAUUCUUAUGGCUGAGGAGCACCAGAAGCCCGAGGCUGCUGCUGUUGCAGAAGCACCAGCAACUUACAGUGAGGAAGUUGUGGUGGUGGCUGAUGCGCCGCCUGCCGAGAAGGCUGUACCCGAGAAAGAAGGUCCUCCGGAGGCCGAGGCUGAGGCGGUAGCCGAGAAGCCUGUGGCUGAGGAGAAGGCCCCCAAGGCUGCUGAGGAGGAUCAGAAGAUCAUCGCUCAGUCGGUUUCUUUCAAGGAGGAGAGCUAUGUUGUUGGUGAGCUUCCCGAGCCGCAGAAGAAGGCUCUUGAGGAGCUCAAGCAACUCAUCCAGGAGGCCCUCAACAAGCACGAGUUCACUGCUCCGCCCACUCCGCCGCCGGCAAAGGAGGAAGAGAAGCCUGCACCGGCUGAGGAGAAGAAGGCCGAAGAAGAACCCAAAGCUGAAGUUGCUGCUGCUGAAGAACCAAAAGCAGCAGAAGAAGUCAAAGAAGAAGAGAAGCCCAAAGAGGAAGCCAAAGAAGAAGAGAAGCCCAAAGAGGAAGCCAAAGAAGAAGACAAGCCCAAAGAAGAAGAAGACAAGCCCAAAGUGGAAGAAGAAGAGAAGCCAACAGAGACUGUGGCUGUGGUUGUGACAGAGGAGGUUGUGGAGACUGUUGACGAUGACGGCGCAAAGACCGUAGAGGCCAUCAAAGAGACCAUAGUGGAAGUUGCCUCUGCUUCUGCAGCAGAGGAGGCUGCAGCCGAGCCUAAACCAGAAUCCGAGGUGGCAGCGGAGGCUUCUGCUGCUGCUGCUGCUCCGGCCCCGGAGGAGCCGAAGACGGAAGCCCCCACCGCACCUCCUCCUCCGCCGGAGGAGGUGCAUAUCUGGGGAAUUCCGCUUCUCAGUGACGAGCGGAGCGACGUCGUUCUGCUAAAGUUCCUGAGAGCCAGGGACUUCAAGGUGAAGGACGCGUUCGCCAUGAUCAAGAACAGCGUGCGGUGGAGGAAGGAGUUUGGCAUCGACGCCCUUCUGGAGGAGGAUCUUGGAAGCCAUUGGGAAAAGGUGGUUUUCACCCAUGGAGUUGACAAGGAAGGCCACUCUGUCUGCUACAAUGUUUUUGGGCAGUUUCAGAACAAGGAGCUCUACCAGAACACCUUCACAGAUGAAGAGAAGAGGUCAAAGUUCAUCAAGUGGAGGAUCCAGUUCUUGGAGAAGAGCAUCAGAAAGUUUGAUUUCAACCCUACCGGGAUUUCUACAAUUGUUCAGGUCAAUGAUCUCAAGAACUUCCCUGGUUUCUUCAAGUGGGAGCACAACCAGGUCACCAACCAGGCCCUUCAAUUGCUUCAGGAUAACUACCCUGAGUUUGUAGCCAAACAGGUACUUAAAUUACUCAGUUAGUGACUGAUUAAUUAGCGAUAAUAUUCUCUAUUAUUAAUUGCUUAAUUUGAUAUCUGGGUUUUGGUUUUUGAAGGUGUUCAUCAAUGUCCCAUGGUGGUAUCUUGCUUUCAACAGGAUGAUCAGCCCCUUCCUCACCCAGAGGACCAAGAGCAAGUUUGUGUUUGCUGGUCCUUCCAAGUCUGCUGAGACCCUUUUCAAGUAAGUAUUGUAAUUUCUAUUUAAUUAUCCAUUUUCAUGUCCUUUUUUCUGCACCACUGCGCUGCUGCUUUAGAGCUUUGUUCAUUCAUCAAAAUUUUAAAAAUAAAAAUAAAUAAAUAAAAGGGGUAUGUGCAUAAUUUAAUUUCUGAAUUUUGUGAAACAGAUAUAUUGCUCCUGAGCAUGUACCAGUUCAGUAUGGUGGGCUAAGCAGGGAGGGUGAGCAAGAAUUCACCACAUCUGAUCCUGUCACUGAGAUCACAGUUAAGCCAGCCACAAAGCACACAGUUGAAAUCCCAGUCUCUGAGGUAUGCAGGGCUCAAGGAAUUAAAUGGUAGAAUAUAUGAGCUUUCUAAUUGUAUUUUUUUAAUUCUAAAUUCUCAUUGGGUUUUGUUGAAUUUGCUUGCAGAAUGGUCUUCUGGUUUGGGAAGUGAGAGUGGUGGGAUGGGAUGUGAGCUAUGGAGCCGAAUUUGUGCCGUCGGCGGAGGACGGCUACACCAUAAUAUUGCAGAAGACCAGGAAGGUUGCUCCAGCUGAUGAGCCAGUGAUCUCAAACAGCUACAAGAUUGGGGAGGCAGGCAAGGUUGUGCUCACCAUUGAUAACCAAAGUUCUAAGAAAAAGAAGCUCCUCUACAGGUCCAAGACCAAGCCUUGCUCUGAUUGAACAAAGAAAGCUUGAAUAAUUCAAUUAUUCAUGCCUGUCUUGGAUCAGCAAUUCCAAUCAAACAGAAGACAAUUCAAUUGCAGCAUUGCAGAAUAAACAAGUCUGGGGGUUCUUUGUUUUCUUUUUGGGGGUUCUUUGUUUUCUUUUUCUUUAAUUUUUAAAUACAGGGUUAAUUAUUUUUUCUUCUUUUGGUUGAUAUUUUUUUAUGUUUUGCAAUGAAGAAAAACAAGUCUCUGGGGGUUUUUUUUAUUCAUAUUUGUUUUAGUGUAUGGGGGUUUUGGUAAUUUUGUUUGGAUUGUUUGUAAACAAUAGUUGAAGUCGAGUCCUGGAUGGAUAGAUGAUGGCUUGUGUGGUGACAGUACAUAUGAUAUGUUGGGGGAAUUGGAAUGUGUGUCGACAUGGGACAGAAACUCUUUCUUUAUACUCUUUUGCAUGUAAAAUCUGUGUAAAUUUGGUCUCUUCUGUUUCCUGUUAUUAUCUGUUUGUCAUUUUUUAUUUUUAAGCCUUGAGUUUAUCUGUUGUUGUUGUAUGCCUAUUUUAAUAAUACUAUGUUAUUUAUUAAUUUAUUUCCAC